rnacentral:rRNA from 1 species
GUUAAGCGACUAAGCGUACACGGUGGAUGCCCUGGCAGUCAGAGGCGAUGAAGGACGUGCUAAUCUGCGAUAAGCGUCGGUGAGGUGAUAUGAACCGUUAUAACCGGCGAUUUCCGAAUGGGGAAACCCAGUGUGUUUCGACACACUAUCAUUAACUGAAUCCAUAGGUUAAUGAGGCGAACCGGGGGAACUGAAACAUCUAAGUACCCCGAGGAAAAGAAAUCAACCGAGAUUCCCCCAGUAGCGGCGAGCGAACGGGGAGGAGCCCAGAGCCUGAAUCAGUGUGUGUGUUAGUGGAAGCGUCUGGAAAGGCGUGCGAUACAGGGUGACAGCCCCGUACACAAAAAUGCACAUACUGUGAGCUCGAUGAGUAGGGCGGGACACGUGGUAUCCUGUCUGAAUAUGGGGGGACCAUCCUCCAAGGCUAAAUACUCCUGACUGACCGAUAGUGAACCAGUACCGUGAGGGAAAGGCGAAAAGAACCCCGGCGAGGGGAGUGAAAAAGAACCUGAAACCGUGUACGUACAAGCAGUGGGAGCCUCUUAAUGGGGUGACUGCGUACCUUUUGUAUAAUGGGUCAGCGACUUAUAUUCUGUAGCAAGGUUAACCGAAUAGGGGAGCCGAAGGGAAACCGAGUCUUAACUGGGCGUUAAGUUGCAGGGUAUAGACCCGAAACCCGGUGAUCUAGCCAUGGGCAGGUUGAAGGUUGGGUAACACUAACUGGAGGACCGAACCGACUAAUGUUGAAAAAUUAGCGGAUGACUUGUGGCUGGGGGUGAAAGGCCAAUCAAACCGGGAGAUAGCUGGUUCUCCCCGAAAGCUAUUUAGGUAGCGCCUCGUGAAUUCAUCUCCGGGGGUAGAGCACUGUUUCGGCAAGGGGGUCAUCCCGACUUACCAACCCGAUGCAAACUGCGAAUACCGGAGAAUGUUAUCACGGGAGACACACGGCGGGUGCUAACGUCCGUCGUGAAGAGGGAAACAACCCAGACCGCCAGCUAAGGUCCCAAAGUCAUGGUUAAGUGGGAAACGAUGUGGGAAGGCCCAGACAGCCAGGAUGUUGGCUUAGAAGCAGCCAUCAUUUAAAGAAAGCGUAAUAGCUCACUGGUCGAGUCGGCCUGCGCGGAAGAUGUAACGGGGCUAAACCAUGCACCGAAGCUGCGGCAGCGACGCUUAUGCGUUGUUGGGUAGGGGAGCGUUCUGUAAGCCUGUGAAGGUGUGCUGUGAGGCAUGCUGGAGGUAUCAGAAGUGCGAAUGCUGACAUAAGUAACGAUAAAGCGGGUGAAAAGCCCGCUCGCCGGAAGACCAAGGGUUCCUGUCCAACGUUAAUCGGGGCAGGGUGAGUCGACCCCUAAGGCGAGGCCGAAAGGCGUAGUCGAUGGGAAACAGGUUAAUAUUCCUGUACUUGGUGUUACUGCGAAGGGGGGACGGAGAAGGCUAUGUUGGCCGGGCGACGGUUGUCCCGGUUUAAGCGUGUAGGCUGGUUUUCCAGGCAAAUCCGGAAAACCAAGGCUGAGGCGUGAUGACGAGGCACUACGGUGCUGAAGCGACAAAUGCCCUGCUUCCAGGAAAAGCCUCUAAGCAUCAGGUAACAUCAAAUCGUACCCCAAACCGACACAGGUGGUCAGGUAGAGAAUACCAAGGCGCUUGAGAGAACUCGGGUGAAGGAACUAGGCAAAAUGGUGCCGUAACUUCGGGAGAAGGCACGCUGAUAUGUAGGUGAAGCGACUUGCUCGUGGAGCUGAAAUCAGUCGAAGAUACCAGCUGGCUGCAACUGUUUAUUAAAAACACAGCACUGUGCAAACACGAAAGUGGACGUAUACGGUGUGACGCCUGCCCGGUGCCGGAAGGUUAAUUGAUGGGGUUAGCGGUAACGCGAAGCUCUUGAUCGAAGCCCCGGUAAACGGCGGCCGUAACUAUAACGGUCCUAAGGUAGCGAAAUUCCUUGUCGGGUAAGUUCCGACCUGCACGAAUGGCGUAAUGAUGGCCAGGCUGUCUCCACCCGAGACUCAGUGAAAUUGAACUCGCUGUGAAGAUGCAGUGUACCCGCGGCAAGACGGAAAGACCCCGUGAACCUUUACUAUAGCUUGACACUGAACAUUGAGCCUUGAUGUGUAGGAUAGGUGGGAGGCUUUGAAGUGUGGACGCCAGUCUGCAUGGAGCCGACCUUGAAAUACCACCCUUUAAUGUUUGAUGUUCUAACGUUGGCCCGUAAUCCGGGUUGCGGACAGUGUCUGGUGGGUAGUUUGACUGGGGCGGUCUCCUCCUAAAGAGUAACGGAGGAGCACGAAGGUUGGCUAAUCCUGGUCGGACAUCAGGAGGUUAGUGCAAUGGCAUAAGCCAGCUUGACUGCGAGCGUGACGGCGCGAGCAGGUGCGAAAGCAGGUCAUAGUGAUCCGGUGGUUCUGAAUGGAAGGGCCAUCGCUCAACGGAUAAAAGGUACUCCGGGGAUAACAGGCUGAUACCGCCCAAGAGUUCAUAUCGACGGCGGUGUUUGGCACCUCGAUGUCGGCUCAUCACAUCCUGGGGCUGAAGUAGGUCCCAAGGGUAUGGCUGUUCGCCAUUUAAAGUGGUACGCGAGCUGGGUUUAGAACGUCGUGAGACAGUUCGGUCCCUAUCUGCCGUGGGCGCUGGAGAACUGAGGGGGGCUGCUCCUAGUACGAGAGGACCGGAGUGGACGCAUCACUGGUGUUCGGGUUGUCAUGCCAAUGGCACUGCCCGGUAGCUAAAUGCGGAAGAGAUAAGUGCUGAAAGCAUCUAAGCACGAAACUUGCCCCGAGAUGAGUUCUCCCUGAGACUUAGAGUCUCCUGAAGGAACGUUGAAGACGACGACGUUGAUAGGCCGGGUGUGUAAGCGCAGCGAUGCGUUGAGCUAACCGGUACUAAUGAACCGUGAGGCUUAACCUU